rnacentral:rRNA from 1 species
GACGAAUGCUGGCGGCGUGCCUAAUACAUGCAAGUAGAACGCACAGUUUAUACCGUAGCUUGCUACACCAUAAACUGUGAGUUGCGAACGGGUGAGUAACGCGUAGGUAACCUGCCUGGUAGCGGGGGAUAACUAUUGGAAACGAUAGCUAAUACCGCAUAAUAUUGAUUAUUGCAUGAUAAUUGAUUGAAAGAUGCUAUUGCAUCACUACCAGAUGGACCUGCGUUGUAUUAGCUAGUAGGUGAGGUAACGGCUCACCUAGGCGACGAUACAUAGCCGACCUGAGAGGGUGAUCGGCCACACUGGGACUGAGACACGGCCCAGACUCCUACGGGAGGCAGCAGUAGGGAAUCUUCGGCAAUGGACGAAAGUCUGACCGAGCAACGCCGCGUGAGUGAAGAAGGUUUUCGGAUCGUAAAGCUCUGUUGUAAGAGAAGAACGGGUGUGAGAGUGGAAAGUUCACACUGUGACGGUAUCUUACCAGAAAGGGACGGCUAACUACGUG